ncrna:length=1540
GGGCCUGUAGCUCAGUGGAUAGAGCGUCUGCCUCCGGAGCAGAAGGUCGUGGGUUCGAAUCCCAUUAGGCCCA